GUCUUUUUGAGUUUAAUUUAAAGUCUAAUCUGCCCACUGAUUUUAAAGGGCCGCAGUAUAUUGACUGUGCAAAGGUAGCAUAAUAAUUAGUUUUUUAAUUGAAAGCUGGUAUGAAUGAUUGGACGAGAAUAAAGCUGUCUCUGAUUAAUAAAAUUAGAAUUUAAUUUUUAAGUAAAAAAGCUUAAGUUUAAUUUAAAGACAAGAAGACCCUUUAGAGUUUUAUAUUAAAUUAUAAUAUAUUUAUUAAAAUAGUUAGAUUUAUUAUGAAUUUUGUAUUUAUUUGGGGUGAAUUUAAAAUUUAUUAAACUUUUAAUAUGAUAAAAACAAUAGUGAUUGUUUUAUUGAUCCAAUUUUUUGAUUAAUAGGUUAAAUUACCUAAGGGAUAACAGCGUAAUUUUUUUGGAGAGUUCUUAUUAAUAGAAAAGAUUGCGACCUCGAUGUUGGAUUAAGAUUAAUUUAUAAUGUAUAAGUUAUAAUUGUAAGUCUGUUCGACUUUUAAAUUCUUACA
rnacentral:rRNA from 1 species